UACGAAGGGGGCUAGCGUUGCUCGGAAUCACUGGGCGUAAAGCGCACGUAGGCGGCUUUCUAAGUCAGGGGUGAAAUCCUGGAGCUCAACUCCAGAACUGCCUUUGAUACUGGAGAGCUAGAGUCCGGAAGAGGUGAGUGGAAACUGCGAGUGUAGAGGUGAAAUUCGUAGAUAUUCGCAAGAACACCAGUGGCGAAGGCGGCUCACUGGUCCGGUACUGACGCUGAGGUGCGAAAGCGUGGGGAUCAAACAGGG
rnacentral:rRNA from 1 species